GACGUAGGAGGCGAGCGUUGUCCGGAUUCAUUGGGCGUAAAGAGCGCGCAGGCGGCUUGGUAAGUCGGAUGUGAAAUCCCGAGGCUCAACCUCGGGUCUGCAUCCGAUACUGCUCGGCUAGAGGUAGGUAGGGGAGAUCGGAAUUCCUGGUGUAGCGGUGAAAUGCGCAGAUAUCAGGAGGAACACCGAUGGCGAAGGCAGGUCUCUGGGCCACUACUGACGCUGAGAAGCGAAAGCAUGGGGAGCGAACAGG
rnacentral:rRNA from 1 species